rnacentral:lncRNA from 1 species
GUUUCCUCAUCCCUGCAGCUGUGUUUGAACAGACCUCCAUGAUUUUGCAGGAAACAAGAUAAAGCAGAGCCAAAGAUGAAAGGGGAAGCAAUUCCAGGCCGAUGAGAAGAUGCACGAUUGCCAUUCAGCUGGUUGGUGGAGAAUUUGAACUGGAGAUGAACUCUAUUAUCCAGGAUGCUGAGAGUAUAAUACGCAUGACAGAGCUUUUAGAGCACUGUGAUGUAACAUGUCAAGC